CACCCGGGCCCCCUCUGCAGCCCCCUACGUGAGCCCGCAAUAUUUUCCUUAUAUGAUCAGGUCCCCUUGUAGGUCAGGGGCCUGAAAUGAUUAUCAAAAUAACUCUGGUCAAAUGGGGCGCGGGGUCCGGGGG
ensembl:snoRNA SCARNA17 small Cajal body-specific RNA 17